rnacentral:rRNA from 1 species
UACAGAGGUCCCAAGCGUUGCUCGGAAUCACUGGGCGUAAAGGGUGCGUAGGCGGGUCUUUAAGUCAGGGGUGAAAUCCUGGAGCUCAACUCCAGAACUGCCUUUGAUACUGAAGAUCUUGAGUCCGGGAGAGGUGAGUGGAACUGCGAGUGUAGAGGUGAAAUUCGUAGAGAUCGGAAAGAACACCAACGGCGAAAGCACUCUGCUGGGCCGACACUGACACUGAGAGACGAAAGCUAGGGGAGCGAAUGGG